GCAUAUUUUCUUCUCUUUACUGCCUCAGUACAUUCGUUAUCCCACCAAGGAGGAGAAGGAAUAAAACCCAAAGAGCUAUUUUUACUUGGAAAUAUCUCAUUGGCAACCUCAAUAAAGAUUGUUGCUAAAGAAUCUGCACACUGAGAUUCUGUACCUGGAUUAAUUUUUGGAAGUGUUGGAAAUGAUAAUAAUAGUGGGAAGUGAUCACUACCAAAAGUAGAUCGUAAUGGAUCCCAGGACAAAGAAGAAGCAAGAUUAGGUGUAGUGACUGUUAAAUCUGGAGCACUUGGGCCCUCUUCAGGAUGAGAACGUCGUGUAGGACGACCAUCUUUUAAUAUACACAAGUUCACUGAAUCAAAUAUAUCUAUUAAUGUGUUACCAUAACUAUUAGAAGAUAAGUAACCCCAGGAUUCAUGGCGACAGUUAAAAUCACCAAGGAUCAUAAAAGGCUUCGGAAGAAUGGAAAUAAUAUCUUUGAUUUCAUUUAAGAUUGUAGAAGAAGGAUGAGGUAUAUAAAUAGAUACAUAACAGAUAUUUUCAACUAAAGCAGCAAUAAUAGAAAAAUCAUUACUGUGAGAAGGAAUAGAGAAGAGAGAAAAGGAAAGAGGGUGUUUCACAAGCAUGGCUACUCCGCCAUGCCCAUCCACACGAUCUUCUCUGAGACAUGAAUAACCUCGAAUCUUAAAUAAAGAUCCUGGUUUCAACCAUGUCUCUUCAAGAACACAGAUAUAAGGUUUAUAUUUAUUUAAUAAAUAAAUAAGAUCACUUUUUUUAGGAGUGAUGCUUUGACAAUUCCAUUGAAGAACUUUGUCCAUUAUUUGGUUUAUAAAUUUGAGUAAUUGCAGAAACUAAUAAGGCAGCGUUGGACGGUGAAAAUUCAUUCGAUUGACUAAGAGAUUUUAUAAGAGAAAUAAUUAAAUCAAUUACUGAGGAUUCCAAA